GACGAACGCUGGCGGCGUGCUUAACACAUGCAAGUCGAGCGGUAAGGCCCUUUCGGGGGUACACGAGCGGCGAACGGGUGAGUAACACGUGGGUGACCUGCCUUCAGCUCUGGGAUAAGCCUGGGAAACUGGGUCUAAUACCGGAUAUGACUCCAUGAUGCAUGUUGUGGGGUGGAAAGCUUUUGCGGCUGGAGAUGGGCCCGCGGCCUAUCAGCUUGUUGGUGGGGUGANGGCCUACCAAGGCGACGACGGGUAGCCGGCCUGAGAGGCGACCGGCCACACUGGGACUGAGACACGGCCCAGACUCCUACGGGAGGCAGCAGGUGGGGAAUCUUGCGCAAUGGGCGAAAGCCUGACGCAGCGACGCCGCGUGAGGGAUGACGGCCUGG
rnacentral:rRNA from 1 species